CCAAUGAUGAAUUCUUAAGUAUCUGAUAUUUUUGAUGUCAAAAAAAAAUCCUCUAAGAAGUUCUGAUGGGA
rfam:Biomphalaria glabrata isolate BB02 unplaced genomic scaffold LGTN_random_Scaffold6321, whole genome shotgun sequence.